rnacentral:lncRNA from 1 species
GAUUCUCUCUUUGUGCCACAAGACUGCUGCAGAAGGAUGGGGGAGUGGUUGUAUAGAUAAAUGUUCAUUUUGGUGUUCCUGUGCAGAAGAUUAUUACUAGAGGCUUCUAUUCAGCUAUUUUGCUCUACCUCCUCUUCCAGAACAAGGUUUCUUGAGAUGGAAUCUGUUUCUGAUGAAGAUGCUAUGAGUAUUGUUGAAAUGACAACAAAGGAUCUAGAAUAUUACAUAAACUUAGUUGAUAAAAUGGCAGCAAUAUUUGAGAGGAGUGACUUCAAUUUUGAAAGAAGAUCUAGUGUGGGUAAAAUGCUACUAAAAAGCAUCACAUACCCUCAGAUGGUCGUUAACAAUUUUUUUUCAAUAAAGUAUUCUUGAAGAUAUGUACUUAUUUUAGACACAACACUAUUGCACACUUAAUAAACUGUAGUGUAAAUGUAGCUUUUAUA